AUAUAUAUAUAUAUAUAUAUAUAUUAUAUAUAUAUUAUAUAUAUAUUUAUAUCUAUGACUGCAGGUUACCAACCAUAAGAGUCACAUAUUUAUAUGAGUCUAUCUUAGACUAGUCUAUCUAUUGUCCAACUUUUAAAAUUUCCAUUCCAAUCUAUUUUUAGCCAUUGAUUAAUCCGUCCAUCCGAUACUUGUAUUUUAUACUUGAUUUUUAUUAAGCCUGUUUAUUUUUCUUUGAUAUUUCGUUCUGGCUUGUAUUUAAAAGGACUCACUUUUCCUGGAGUAUUUUUUAUUUUAUUAAGUAUUCAGUGUAAUUUAAGCAUUGUAAUGGAAUGCGAUCACGAGUAUAAGGUGUACAAUACUACUUGCUUUGGGUUAAAUGGAUGUUAGUCGAACUAAAUGCAUUUUCAUAUACUUACCUGGCACAGGUAAAACAUCGACCUGUGAGCGUAGGUAUGAUACUUUUCAUAAUCCAUAAAAAUGGCUACCAUACAUUUUGUUCUCUACUAGUUAUGUAUGGUAGCCAUAUCUAUAGCCUUUUUGAAAUUAUCAUUUAUUUAUUUAUAAUUAAAAAUAUUUCCAGCAUGUACAAAGUUAGGUUCCAUUUUAAAUAAAACCUGGCAUUCAUUAGUUUUUUAGAGCAACAAAAAUCACGGUAUAAGAUGCAUAAAUAAGGAAAUUUCAUUAAAGACCCCCCCCCCCCCC